GGGUUGUGAGGUUAAGCGACUAAGCGUACACGGUGGAUGCCCUGGCAGUCAGAGGCGAUGAAGGACGUGCUAAUCUGCGAUAAGCGUCGGUAAGGUGAUAUGAACCGUUAUAACCGGCGAUUUCCGAAUGGGGAAAUCCAGUGUGUUUCGACACACUAUCAUUAACUGAAUCCAUAGGUUAAUGAGGCGAACCGGGGGAACUGAAACAUCUAAGUACCCCGAGGAAAAGAAAUCAACCGAGAUUCCCCCAGUAGCGGCGAGCGAACGGGGAGCAGCCCAGAGCCUGAAUCAGUGUGUGUGUUAGUGGAAGCGUCUGGAAAGGCGCGCGAUACAGGGUGACAGCCCCGUACACAAAAAUACACAUACUGUGAGCUCGAUGAGUAGGGCGGGACACGUGGUAUCCUGUCUGAAUAUGGGGGGACCAUCCUCCAAGGCUAAAUACUCCUGACUGACCGAUAGUGAACCAGUACCGUGAGGGAAAGGCGAAAAGAACCCCGGCGAGGGGAGUGAAAAAGAACCUGAAACCGUGUACGUACAAGCAGUGGGAGCACGCUUAGGCGUGUGACUGCGUACCUUUUGUAUAAUGGGUCAGCGACUUAUAUUCUGUAGCAAGGUUAACCGAAUAGGGGAGCCGAAGGGAAACCGAGUCUUAACUGGGCGUUAAGUUGCAGGGUAUAGACCCGAAACCCGGUGAUCUAGCCAUGGGCAGGUUGAAGGUUGGGUAACACUAACUGGAGGACCGAACCGACUAAUGUUGAAAAAUUAGCGGAUGACUUGUGGCUGGGGGUGAAAGGCCAAUCAAACCGGGAGAUAGCUGGUUCUCCCCGAAAGCUAUUUAGGUAGCGCCUCGUGAAUUCAUCUCCGGGGGUAGAGCACUGUUUCGGCAAGGGGGUCAUCCCGACUUACCAACCCGAUGCAAACUGCGAAUACCGGAGAAUGUUAUCACGGGAGACACACGGCGGGUGCUAACGUCCGUCGUGAAGAGGGAAACAACCCAGACCGCCAGCUAAGGUCCCAAAGUCAUGGUUAAGUGGGAAACGAUGUGGGAAGGCCCAGACAGCCAGGAUGUUGGCUUAGAAGCAGCCAUCAUUUAAAGAAAGCGUAAUAGCUCACUGGUCGAGUCGGCCUGCGCGGAAGAUGUAACGGGGCUAAACCAUGCACCGAAGCUGCGGCAGCGACGCUUAUGCGUUGUUGGGUAGGGGAGCGUUCUGUAAGCCUGCGAAGGUGUGCUGUGAGGCAUGCUGGAGGUAUCAGAAGUGCGAAUGCUGACAUAAGUAACGAUAAAGCGGGUGAAAAGCCCGCUCGCCGGAAGACCAAGGGUUCCUGUCCAACGUUAAUCGGGGCAGGGUGAGUCGACCCCUAAGGCGAGGCCGAAAGGCGUAGUCGAUGGGAAACAGGUUAAUAUUCCUGUACUUGGUGUUACUGCGAAGGGGGGACGGAGAAGGCUAUGUUGGCCGGGCGACGGUUGUCCCGGUUUAAGCGUGUAGGCUGGUUUUCCAGGCAAAUCCGGAAAAUCAAGGCUGAGGCGUGAUGACGAGGCACUACGGUGCUGAAGCAACAAAUGCCCUGCUUCCAGGAAAAGCCUCUAAGCAUCAGGUAACAUCAAAUCGUACCCCAAACCGACACAGGUGGUCAGGUAGAGAAUACCAAGGCGCUUGAGAGAACUCGGGUGAAGGAACUAGGCAAAAUGGUGCCGUAACUUCGGGAGAAGGCACGCUGAUAUGUAGGUGAAGUCCCUUGCGGAUGGAGCUGAAAUCAGUCGAAGAUACCAGCUGGCUGCAACUGUUUAUUAAAAACACAGCACUGUGCAAACACGAAAGUGGACGUAUACGGUGUGACGCCUGCCCGGUGCCGGAAGGUUAAUUGAUGGGGUUAGCGCAAGCGAAGCUCUUGAUCGAAGCCCCGGUAAACGGCGGCCGUAACUAUAACGGUCCUAAGGUAGCGAAAUUCCUUGUCGGGUAAGUUCCGACCUGCACGAAUGGCGUAAUGAUGGCCAGGCUGUCUCCACCCGAGACUCAGUGAAAUUGAACUCGCUGUGAAGAUGCAGUGUACCCGCGGCAAGACGGAAAGACCCCGUGAACCUUUACUAUAGCUUGACACUGAACAUUGAGCCUUGAUGUGUAGGAUAGGUGGGAGGCUUUGAAGUGUGGACGCCAGUCUGCAUGGAGCCGACCUUGAAAUACCACCCUUUAAUGUUUGAUGUUCUAACGUUGACCCGUGAUCCGGGUUGCGGACAGUGUCUGGUGGGUAGUUUGACUGGGGCGGUCUCCUCCUAAAGAGUAACGGAGGAGCACGAAGGUUGGCUAAUCCUGGUCGGACAUCAGGAGGUUAGUGCAAUGGCAUAAGCCAGCUUGACUGCGAGCGUGACGGCGCGAGCAGGUGCGAAAGCAGGUCAUAGUGAUCCGGUGGUUCUGAAUGGAAGGGCCAUCGCUCAACGGAUAAAAGGUACUCCGGGGAUAACAGGCUGAUACCGCCCAAGAGUUCAUAUCGACGGCGGUGUUUGGCACCUCGAUGUCGGCUCAUCACAUCCUGGGGCUGAAGUAGGUCCCAAGGGUAUGGCUGUUCGCCAUUUAAAGUGGUACGCGAGCUGGGUUUAGAACGUCGUGAGACAGUUCGGUCCCUAUCUGCCGUGGGCGCUGGAGAACUGAGGGGGGCUGCUCCUAGUACGAGAGGACCGGAGUGGACGCAUCACUGGUGUUCGGGUUGUCAUGCCAAUGGCACUGCCCGGUAGCUAAAUGCGGAAGAGAUAAGUGCUGAAAGCAUCUAAGCACGAAACUUGCCCCGAGAUGAGUUCUCCCUGACUCCUUGAGAGUCCUGAAGGAACGUUGAAGACGACGACGUUGAUAGGCCGGGUGUGUAAGCGCAGCGAUGCGUUGAGCUAACCGGUACUAAUGAACCGUGAGGCUUAACCUUACAACGCCGAAGCUGUU
rnacentral:rRNA from 1 species